rnacentral:rRNA from 1 species
AGAGUUUGAUCCUGGCUCAGAAUGAACGUUGGCGGCGUGGAUUAGGCAUGCAAGUCGAGCGGGUGUAGCAAUACACCAGCGGCGAAAGGGACAGUAACACGUGGAUACCUACCCUCAGGACUGGGAUAGCUGCGGGAAACUGCAGGUAAUACCAGAUGAUAUCUCCGGAUCAAAGGUGUGAAUCCGCCGGAGGAUGGGUCCGCGUCCUAUCAGCUAGUUGGCGGGGUAAUGGCCCACCAAGGCAACGACGGGUAGCAGGUGUGAGAGCACGACCUGCGUCACUGGGACUGAGACACUGCCCAGACACCUACGGGUGGCUGCAGUCGAGAAUCUUCGGCAAUGAGCGCAAGCUUGACCGAGCGACGCCGCGUGCGGGAUGAAGGCCCUCGGGUUGUAAACCGCUGUCAGUGGGGAGGAAGGUCUGGUGAAGAGCCAGAUUUGACCUAUCCGCAGAGGAAGUGUGGGCUAAGUCCGUGCCAGCAGCCGCGGUAAGACGGACCACACAAACGUUAUUCGGAAUCACUGGGCUUAAAGGGUGCGUAGGCUGUGCAGUAAGUUGGGUGUGAAAUACCUCGGCUCAACCGAGGAAUUGCGCCCAAAACUACUGUGCUUGAGGGAGAUAGGGGUGAGCGGAACUUAGGGUGGAGCGGUGAAAUGCGUUGAUAUCCUAAGGAACACCGGUGGCGUAAGCGGCUCACUGGAUCUCUACUGACGCUGAGGCACGAAAGCUAGGGGAGCGAACGGGAUUAGAUACCCCGGUAGUCCUAGCCGUAAACGAUGAGCACUGGAUUGGAGGGUCU